rnacentral:lncRNA from 1 species
CCCAAAGGGAACAAUGGAUUUCAUUAUUGGAAAUCAACACAAUUAAAAAGAACAUAUUUGUUUAUUCAGAUCACAUCCUUAGAAGUGAUUUCUUAUAUAAGGAAGAUAAUAUUAUCAGGGCCAGACUUUAUUAAAAAAAUCAGCUCUACCUUAAAGGUAUUUUUUUUUAAAUAUAUGUUUCUAGUAUAAAAAAAUCGUCACAAAAAGUAUUAGUGUUACUCAUAUAAGCUUUAUUUAUACCUAAUACUUAUUAAAUUAGGUAUGUGUGUAAAACUAUUUUUUUACUAGGAUUUCUGAUGCACUGGUUAAAAACACAGCAGCCGAUAAUUCAGUUAAUUUACCAAGUGAUUUACCCUUCAAAGCUGCAGGGGUAGUUUUCCUGAAGAGUGCAAAAAUUUCUUUAGAUUCCAAAAUGGUAUAUAGUACAAACAGUGAAGCUAAUAUACACAAAUCUGAUCAUUCAUCAACAAUAACUGCAUCUGAGAUUAAUUGUUACCGUCUAGGUUUAGAUCAACAAUUACUAUUUUCUCAUCCAAGCCGUUUUUGUUUAACUGCUACAAAUUCCCUGACUCUGCCAAGGAAAAGGGUAAAAUCAAAAUGAUAUCCUGAGGACCUAAGCACUGAUGAUUCCACCGUUUCAAAAGCUAAAUCACUUGUCACCAAAUUAUGGAAAAAAAAUAAAGAACAAAAAAAUAAAAUUCGAAGAUUGCAACAAACAAAUUUGCGGCAAAGAAAUUGAAUUAGAUGUCUCAAGUCAUUAUUAAAAUACUUAAGAAAUAAUAACAAGAUUUUCGAAAAAGCCCAACAUACUACAUAUUUUAUUUAACUUGUAAAAGUACUUGUUUGUAUAUUAGUACUAAUAAACUAUCUAAUCUAAGCUAUUGUACAUAGUCUUUAUUCUUAGGUAAGCUUUGUUUUUUAGUAUAAAUUAAUAUGAUAUAAUAAUUGGUAUUAGGUAUUAUAUAGGUCACUGUUAAAUGUCUGAAAACGAUUGUACAGGCUAAAUACUCAUAAUAAAAAUCUUAUAACCUAUAAAGAACCUGCAACUCCUUCACAAUUUAAACAUCCUUUUAGUUUUAACUCUUUCCGCUAAAGCAAUACUGUCCCUUUGAAAAAGUCAGCACCAUAGAAGUAUAUAUUAUGUUAUAUAAAGUAAGUGAUGUAAAACUGAGUUUUGUUCAAUAUAACAAUAACAAUGAAAUGUUGCAAAAUGUUAAAAAUGUAUGUCUUAAAACAUGAUUUAUUAAGAAAUCUAUAAUAUUAUAUUAAUUAAACAUUUAAUUUCCAUAAAAAUGCUGCCUUUUAUUAGGACCUUCCUCUAACGAAGUCCGUUAAAAAAAUACAUAAAUAGCUCAUAAAUGGUAAUAUUACUUAUACUCAAACUCUAUAAUAAUUAAUAAAAAUUUAACAGGUAAAUAUUUG